ACAGCGUCUCUACUGGGGACUUCUCUGGGACAGUUUGCUUCUGCAGGCCUCAAAGAGAAACCAAUGUUGAGGGAAACAAAAUAAAAGCUUUGGCUCACAUCAUAUCACUGAGAUGUACCCACCUUUCCAAUAAGGGGUCCCAAGAUAAUAUCGUCAUGUUCCAGCACCCAUUUAUCCUGCAAGGGUUAGAAACCAAAGGCAGACACAGAGAGCGAAUUACAAAGAGGAUCGCUGAUUACUGAGAAAGAACUUCAACAGAAAAGGGUAGCCUCAGACUUUUUGGUGACGGGUAGGCCUGACGACUGCAGAUGAUGGAUAAGCUUCGGGAUGCUGUGGAAGCCUUCUCCAUCCAGACGGUACAAAUUCUAUUGACACACAUGGAAAAGGGAUCACAGAGAAAGUCUCCAUCAUUCUUGAGUAACUGCUGGACUUCCAGCCUGGGAAUGGCUCCGUGGUACCAGUCUUGCUGACACAGGGGACGGUCUGUUUCCUGCACGCUGGAGAGGACUGGGUGAACCUAGAGGCAGUGGGAAGAAAUGGGAUUUUUAUUAGAGUUGGCAGAAAUCUUAGGGAAGUAAAACAAAAACAGAGGAUAUACUUUUUUUUUUUUUUUUUUACAGGGAUCUGGUAGAGAUUAGUUAAAGACACUUCAAUGAAGAGUCUACAAAACGUGAAAGUUGAAGCACUCCAAAGUGCAUACCUGCCGGGCACCAGAGUGAUGUAAAUCAGAGAAGGAGCAGCUCACUCAGAAACUGCAUUUCAUAUUUAAGACAAUUCAAGCUAAAUGUCUCAAAUCCACCUAAUUACUGAAGAUGGUGCUGGAGCAGUGAUCAUGUCAGCAGCUCUGCUAAGAUUUCAUCAGCUGCCGCAAAGGGCUUUGUGUAGAACUUUAUUAAUGACUGGAUCAAACCUCCAACACCUCUACACAGCCUUGUCAACCAAGAAAAAUGAGGGAACUGAGAUCAAUAACUCUAUGCAUAUUACUGAAUUAUUAUUACUAAUAAGGUGGCUGCUGCCUCCUGAGACCAGGCUGCCUUAAAGCAGUCGCUCAGCCAACAGCACACUGAACUUUUCUGUUGGGAAGGACUGCACACAGGGGCAAAGUGGAGCUCCAUCUCCAGCUGGUCCACAGACAUCUGCUGAGAGCUCAAAGACUUUGCCAGGUCCAGCAGCUCCUCUUCGAUUGCAGUCAGCCUAAAGCAUAGAAGCACCAUAAGGAAAUAGGGGAAGUAAAGCAGGUGUUUAAA